rnacentral:misc_RNA from 1 species
AGCCAAGCCAAAAUCAGAUAACUUGGGGUGGAACCCCUCACCAAGUAGAAUAUUGGAGCAUUUCAGAUCACGGUAAAUAAUAGGAGGAUUCAUCUUAUCAUGUAAAUAUUCCAGGCCCCUUGCGGCACCUGCAGCUAUCUUCAUUCUAACGUUCCAAUCAAGAGGUUUUUGAUUUGGCCAGGGGUCAAACAAAUGGUCUUCCAACGAACCAAGAGACAUAUACUCAUAGACUAA